rnacentral:rRNA from 1 species
GACGUAGGGCGCGAGCGUUGUCCGGAUUUAUUGGGCGUAAAGAGCUCGUAGGCGGUUUGUCGCGUCUGCUGUGAAAACCCGAGGCUCAACCUCGGGCCUGCAGUGGGUACGGGCAGACUAGAGUGCGGUAGGGGAGAUUGGAAUUCCUGGUGUAGCGGUGGAAUGCGCAGAUAUCAGGAGGAACACCGAGGGCGAAGGCAGAUCUGUGGGCCGUAAUUGACGCUGAGGAGCGAAAGCAAGGGGAGCGAACAGG